rnacentral:rRNA from 1 species
AUUGAACGCUGCGGCAGGCCUAACACAUGCAAGUCGAGCGGAUGAGGGUAGCUUGCUAUCUGAUUCAGCGGCGGACGGGUGAGUAAUGCCUAGGAAUCUGCCUGGUAGUGGGGGACAACGUUUCGAAAGGAACGCUAAUACCGCAUACGUCCUACGGGAGAAAGUGGGGGAUCUUCGGACCUCACGCUAUCAGAUGAGCCUAGGUACGAUUAGCUAGUUGGUGAGGUAAAGGCUCACCAAGGCGACGAUCGUUAACUGGUCUGAGAGGAUGAUCAGUCACACUAGAACUGAGACACGGUCCGGACUCCUACGGGAGGCAGCAGUGGGGAAUAUUGGACAAUGGGCGUAAGCCUGAUCCAGCCAUGCCGCGUGUGUGAAGAAGGUCUUCGGAUUGUAAAGCACUUUAAGUUGGGAGGAAGGGCAGUAAGUUAAUACCUUGCUGUUUUGACGUUACCGACAGAAUAAGCACCGGCUAACUUCGUGCCAGCCGCCGCCGUAACAC